rnacentral:rRNA from 1 species
GACAUCCAGAGACUUAGCAGAGAUGCUUGGUGCCUUCGGGAACUCUGAGACAGGUGCUGCAUGGCUGUCGUCAGCUCGUGUUGUGAAAUGUUGGGUUAAGUCCCGNAACGAGCGCAACCCUUAUCCUUUGUGCCAGCGGUUCGGCCGGGAACUCAAAGGAGACUGCCGGUGAUAAACCGGAGGAAGGUGGGGAUGACGUCAAGUCAUCAUGGCCCUUACGGCCAGGGCUACACACGUGCUACAAUGGCGCAUACAAAGAGAAGCGACCUCGCGAGAGCAAGCGGACCUCAUAAAGUGCGUCGUAGUCCGGAUUGGAGUCUGCAACUCGACUCCAUGAAGUCGGAAUCGCUAGUAAUCGUAGAUCAGAAUGCUACGGUGAAUACGUUCCCGGGCCUUGUACACACCGCCCGUCACACCAUGGGAGUGGGUUGCAAAAGAAGUAGGUAGCUUAACCUUCGGGAGGGCGCUUACCACUUUGUGAUUCAUGACUGGGGUGAAGUCGUAACAAGGUAGGCGUAGCGAG